GAUGAACGCUGGCGGCGUGCCUAAUACAUGCGAGUCGAGCGAACGGACGAGAAGCUUGCUUCUCUGAUGUUAGCGGCGGACGGGUGAGUAACACGUGGAUAACCUACCUAUAAGACUGGGAUAACUUCGGGAAACCGGAGCUAAUACCGGAUAAUAUUUUGAACCGCAUGGUUCAAAAGUGAAAGACGGUCUUGCUGUCACUUAUAGAUGGAUCCGCGCUGCAUUAGCUAGUUGGUAAGGUAACGGCUUACCAAGGCAACGAUGCAUAGCCGACCUGAGAGGGUGAUCGGCCACACUGGAACUGAGACACGGUCCAGACUCCUACGGGAGGCAGCAGUAGGGAAUCUUCCGCAAUGGGCGAAAGCCUGACGGAGCAACGCCGCGUGAGUGGUGAAGGUCUUCGGAUCGUAAAACUCUGUUAUUAGGGAAGAACAUAUGUGUAAGUAACUGUGCACAUCUUGACGGUACCUAAUCAGAAAGCCACGGCUAACUACGUG
rnacentral:rRNA from 1 species